UACGUAGGGUGCAAGCGUUAAUCGGAAUUACUGGGCGUAAAGCGUGCGCAGGCGGUUUUGUAAGUCAGAUGUGAAAUCCCCGGGCUUAACCUGGGAACUGCGUUUGAAACUACAAGGCUAGAGUGUGGCAGAGGGGGGUGGAAUUCCACGUGUAGCAGUGAAAUGCGUAGAGAUGUGGAGGAACACCGGUGGCGAAGGCGACCGCCUGGACGAAGAUUGACGCUGAGGCGCGAGAGCGUGGGGAGCAAACAGG
rnacentral:rRNA from 1 species